CCAUUCCAGUGAAAUGGUGUUUAACAUCUAGUUUGGGCAGAUAUCUCUCUCUCACCAUGAUUACAACAUUUUGAAGGCCAGCAAAAUGUUUUUUUUUCAUGAAACAUCUGUUUAAUCCUUUCAACAAGUUGUUUUUGAUUGUAGUCUGAGGAUUCCUUUGCCCCUUCCACCCUCCAAGGUUUCCAACACAAUGGCAGCCCGUCAUAACCACAACCACAAUAACACAAUCCCAACACAACAGUCACACUAACCAUUACAAAUGUGAAUCAUGGCAGUCAGAGGAUGUUUUCACUCGGAAACAGUACCGACUGCUGUGUGUUAGAAGAACUGCAACAGAGGAAGACAACCAAUCUAUAUACAGAAAGGAGUAAAGGGAGAAUCUUAGAGUGUUUUGGAGAGUGGUAGAGAAAGAAGGAAUUGGAGAGAAAAGAGGAUGAGGAAGAGAGAGAGUGUGGCUCACUGCCUGUUGACUCACUGAGCAGGAAUGACUUGACUGGUCAUGAUCUGUAUGACUGAGCAGUGCGCAAGCUCUCUCUUUCUCACACACGCUCUCUCUCUCGCACUCUCUCACCACAGACACACUCACCCGCUGAGUGGAGAGCUCCAGGACAGGCUGCUCUCGCAGCACAGCCUCAGGGACUUAGAGGUACUCUGCUGGGGAAGAGAGACAGGCAGGGACCCCCCCCCCCUGGAGCUCACUGGAACUUACUCUGUUUUUCUCUCCCUCUCUUUUUGUCUAUUCCCUCUCACUCAGUCUCUCUCCCCUUUCUCUCCCAUUAUCUCUCUAUUUCUACUCUCUCCUUCCGUCUCUUUCCCUCUCUCCUCUCCUUCUCAGGACGGACACAGGAUGUGAAGAGAGCAGGUGGCUGACAGUCUCACAGCAACAGACCCUUGGCAGGCAGAGAGGUCGCUGAGCUCUGAGAACAACAGUUAGUUGGGUGGGUGAGUAACAUUGUAACAUUCAUGUUUGUUGGGUGAGUUCUAGAAUAGAAGACGAGUAGACUGGUUAGAUGUUGUUACGUAUUUCUUACAGUCAUUUAUUGUUGAUAGAUAAUGAUUGCUGUAAUGAAUUGUGCAUACAAAAUUGUAUAAUUGUCCUAUACUGUCUAAUAUUGUAAUGUGUUAUGUUUUCUUUAUGUUGACGUGACGAGAAUAGUAUCUAAAGAUAUGAUAGUAUUCUUAUAAUGUUGCUGCAGAUCUUCUUCACAGCUCUACUGUUAAGAGGCAGUGUCCAAAGUGUGGAGGAUGAUGUCACACAUCAGCUGUCCUCAUAGCUGGGCUACCAUGGCAACGACAUUCAUCAGAAUGACUUCCUGCAAAAGCAAAGCACUGUCACGAUCACUUUCUGUAAUGACAGAUCACUUUACGAGGAUAAUUAUUGUGUUUGUGUAAGGUUAAGCAUUGAAAUGCGAUGCCAAAUGAGUGGACUGUCUUUGUAAAUCUACUUGUCAUCCAUGUCACAACUGCUGCACAGAGUUUCUAAAUAAGCAAAGUGUCCUCCAAAAUCUUUGCUGCUGCCAUGCAACCACUGCAUCCCUAUUAUCCGGCAGUGAAAGUCUUCCCCCAGAGGCUGGUUUCACAUGGUGGUUUAGAUUAAUGUUCCCAGUGUCUAGCACCAUUUGAAAUCAGUGUUCUUGGGGACAGGAGAACAGCACUGGGCCUCUGGUAGUGUCAGUCAGUCUAUUGGAGCCAAUCCUCUCUCUCUCUUUCCCCUUUAAAGGAUGACUGAUUUCCUCUGGUGUUUAGAGCCCCUUACAGCCUUCUAGCACCAUUUGAAAUCGGUUAUAAUGACUGGGGUUCAAUGCCUCAAUGUCUUCAUGAUGUCUACAUGUCAACUCUACAGUCAAGCAGACAGGAAAUGAAUUGGAUGAAUGUUCAUAUUAUAUGUGUCACAGGGUCUCUGCUCUUCAGAUCCUGGAAUCACAAUGAGUUGGACAGGAGCUCAAUUCCAGUGGGACAGUUUAAAAGUUUUUAUUGAAUAAAUGUUCAAUAAAACUGAAUUGAUAUUGCAACCUUA